AUGAAAGCCUCUUGAAGGCCAAGAUUGUUUAAUAAUUUUUCUUUUCUCCAGCAUCCAGCCCACUGCCUGCCAUAGAAGAAGUGUUUGUUCACUGAAAUAUGUGGAGAGCCAUCUUUCAACAUGGUUGUCUAGAGAAAGGAAGAGCUGACCACCCUCAGGGCAGAACAACAUGUAGACUUGGAUAACAUCCUAAAGAAGAUUCCUCAGGCAUGCUAGGUGGACACUUACUAACACAGCUUCCUGACAACCCUGGACCCCCUUGUGUGAAGGAUGAGUAUGGAGUUUACUGACCUCAAAGCAACCUAGGCCCCCUCCUGCAGGUCCUCUCUGGAACCGCUUCCACAUAUAUGCAUGAAGACUAGGGAGGGAUAAGACUGUCAAUGAGAAGAAUGUGACUUAAGAGCUGAGUUUGAAACUGUCUUCAGGGGACUGAGAAGUGACCUCACCACUCUGAGGAAAGUGCUUCAUGCCUAUUCCCAACCAAGCUUGCAUCUUUCUCAGAUGCCUCCUGUUGGUUGGACAGUAGGAGAGGAGCUGAGUCUCUGAAAGGUCUAGAAUGGACGCAAGGUCAAGAUUUCUGGAGCCCAGAAGUUUGCAG
rnacentral:lncRNA from 1 species